rnacentral:rRNA from 1 species
GACGAACGCUGGCGGCGUGCUUAACACAUGCAAGUCGAACGGAAAGGCCCUGCUUUCGUGGGGUGCUCGAGUGGCGAACGGGUGCGUAACACGUGAGUAACCUGCCCUUGACUUUGGGAUAACUUCACGAAACUGGGCCUACUACCGGAUAGGAUCUCCUGCUGCAUGGUGGGGGUUGGAAAGUUUCGUCGGUUGGGCAUGGACUCGCGGCUUAUGAGCUUGUUGGUGGGGUAGGGGCUUACCAAUGCUUUGACGGGUAGCCGGCCUGAGAGGGAGACCGGGCACAGAGGGACAGAGAAAGCGCCCAGGCGGAAUCGUGGGGAAGGAGCGGGAAACAUUGCACAACGUGCCGAAGGGGUAAGGAGCGACGUCGGGUGCGAGAGGACGGCUUUCGGGUAGGAAACCGAUUUCGCUUGUGACGAAGCGUGAGGACGGUGAAUGGAGAAAGAGGCACGGGUGAAUUAGGG